UACGAAGGGGGCUAGCGUUGCUCGGAAUCACUGGGCGUAAAGGGUGCGUAAGCGGGUUCUUAAGUCAGAGGUGAAAUCCUGGAGCUCAACUCCAGAACUGCCUUUGAUACUGAGAGUCUUGAGUAUGACAGAGGUGAGUGGAAUUGGCAGUGUAGCAGUGAAAUGCGUAGAGAUUGCCAGGAACACCAAUGGCGAAGGCAGCUUGCUGGGCCACUCCUGACACUGAGGUACGAAAGCGUGGGGAGCGAACAGG
rnacentral:rRNA from 1 species